AGAGGUUGAAGAAGAAGGAAGGUAGCCCCAUCACAUGCUGGACCAUCUAGCUAUCAUCCCUUAAUAAGAAACUGUAUACUAGGCUCCUGUGGGAUCUGGUGAGAAAUAGAACUCCAACUUAAUGUGGAAAAUUUAUAGGUGACAGAUUAACCCGGUGGCAGAAGGAACAUGAAGAUCACUAAUAAAGGAGUCUAGAUAAAGAAGAAUCCCCAGAAAGAGCACAGAGGAAAGGGAGGAUGGAAGAAAGAGACGUGUCUAUCUUCACGACAACAGGUUUUCCUGUGCGCUCUUUCCCCACCGGGACUAUCUGCAUUUGAGGGGAAAACACAUGAAAGUUGGAUUCUUUCUCACAACUACUGGAGUGAGCAGGAAGAACUAGGAGGGCUCCGGUGACACUGCUGCACCGAGACCGAAACUCCUGCUGUUCAUCAAAGCCACAGUCCUCCAAAAUCCGCUCAGGGAAACAAACACGGGAGCUGGACAGG